AUGUCUGACCCCUUCAACAGUAACAUUCUGCCCACCAUGGCGCCCACAGCUCUGAAUGGCCUUCCAGAAGAUAUGACAGAGGAGCUACUGGAUGGACGGUCUGAAAGCACAGGAGUAUCUCUCACGCCUGAGAUGAUCCGAGCCGAGUUUCCCCUGCCAGAGAAUGUACCUUCCACUCCCAGACAGCUGAAAGACGACAGCUCUAAAGAUGACAGCAGUUCCCUGUGUCCCUGUAAAACUCCCCAGAUGAUGCCUGUCAGCACAGCAAACACCUCCAGGGAAUCAAGAGAGCAGCAGCUGGAGGUUUCUGAAGUCUCAGACCAAAAGACUUGGUGCCAAGGUGAUGGCGCGACUCAACCACCUGAAUAUUGUGGUCAAAGCUAAUUCACUCUCUCCACCAGAGAAUAAAUAGUGCUAUAUUUGGUAUGAGGCACUAAGGUUGAUGCAGGAAAUAUCAGAUUACAGUACCAACAUACAUUGACUGAUAUAUUUCCUAUAAUAUAUUUUACUGUAAAAUAUAUCAUUACUGUAGCUGCUAAGCGCUAUUGUACAGUUGCCACACCACUGAUGCUGUGCCCAUUGUCUUGCAUUUACGCUGGCCAAUUCAGCCAAGGACAUUUUCAUUUUAAACACUCUUUAUGUACUUUAAAGUUCGGCUUCUUGUUUUAUUUAAAUAAUGACAGGCCUUUCUGGCAAAUAAAAUAAUU
rnacentral:lncRNA from 1 species